GCUCUCUAAAAAUAGUCUUGAUAAAACUUAACUUCUAGGUAUUUGUUUUAGAUUUAUUUUUUACAGUCUUCUAUUCUAAUCAUUUGCUGACUUUUUUCUGUGAGGUAACCCCUUUGUGAAUAAAUUUGUUAUUGAUUGGAAUAUAAUCGAAUAAUUUGGCCUAUUGGAUGUUUAUCUAGACAUGUUAAAGAUGUUACCUAAUUUUUAUUUUGGUGAGAUAACAUUUCUUGAUAUUUAUUUGGAGUUUAUUUUGUGAACUGAUUUUCUACCCUUUUAAUAAUAUUUCCUUGGCUUUUGGUAAUUUAGUCACUUUUGAUCAUACUUGUGAACUUUCCUUGACUUUAGACAUUCUAAGUGUAUAUAUGUAGGUUUAGUUUAUUUAUUUAUUUAUUAUUAUUUAAUCUUAUCAUUAUUAUUGGUGAAUUAACCUCAUUUUUAUAGAAUCACUGACGCUUGCUACACAGGUACGCUCUCUAUCUUCCCAUUCUAAGUGUAUAUAUAUAUAUAUAGGUUUAGUUUUAUUUAUUUAUUAUUAUUUAAUCUUACCAUUAUUAUUGGUGAAUUAACCUCAUUUUUAUAGAAUCACUAGUGCUUGCUACACAGGUACGCUCUCUAUCUUCUCAUUUUAAAGUUCCAUGAAUAUGUUUGUCAUUAAGAACUCACUACUACAAAAAAUUAAAUUAAUAACACUUUAUUUCUUGAAGCUUGUAAAAAAUAUCAUUAUUUAUCUCUAAAAUUAAUAAUUAUUGAUGCUCACACAUUCUUGGCGCUUUACAAGGAGAAGCAAUGGCGUUUUUAAAUAAUGGCUCUUUUGUAUGGAUGUUGUAUUGAAGAAGACAGACGGAUUUUGGUUUAUGAAUGUAUAAAAAAUAAGAGCCUUGAUCAAGCUCUUUUUGGUGAGAAUGCUUAAAAUAUUUUGCAUCUUGCACUUUAUGUUUUUAUUUUUUAUUUUAUUUUAUUUACCACACCUAUAC
rnacentral:lncRNA from 1 species